UACAGAGGUCUCAAGCGUUGUUCGGAUUCAUUGGGCGUAAAGGGUGCGUAGGCGGCGCGGUAAGUCGGGUGUGAAAUCUCGGAGCUUAACUCCGAAACUGCAUUCGAUACUGCCGUGCUUGAGGACUGGAGAGGAGACUGGAAUUUACGGUGUAGCGGUGAAAUGCAUAGAUACCAUAAAGAACACCUAUUGCGAAGGCAGCUUACUAAGCUGUAACUGACGCUGAGGCACGAAAGUGUGGGGAUCAAACAGG
rnacentral:rRNA from 1 species